CGAAUCGGGUCAGAAUGUCUUAUAAAUAUAGGGGCCCAGUUUUGAUGGGCUUUCAAAUUCAGACGGCCCAAAAGUUCUCUCUUCGACUUUGGCGAGCUCAGGCGUCGUCUAGGGUGUCUAACCUAACGUACUUCGCGUUCAGGUAUUACUGCGAUUAUUGUGACACUUACUGACUUCUCAUUGCUGGAAUUACAGUGAUCCUUGGGCCUAAAUUGACUUGUCAUUGUAAAAAAUUUGGCUUUCUUUUGGUGAAUAAAAAGUUGGUAUCAUGGAGGCUCUUUCGCUUGACAUGGAACAAAUUAUGGAAGUACCUCAGUAAAUGAUGAAUCCUUGAUGGGAGUCAAA